AAGACUAUACUUUCAGGGAUCAUUUCUAUAAUUUGUUACUAGAGAAGGUUCUGUGAACGUGUAGGGCACUGAAAGCCAUAAGGAGGAGGUGAAGUGUUCUCUCUUGAGUGUGAAGCCGGCUCUAGUUGCUCUCUCGCAAUUGCCUACUGCCAUUGAUGACCAUUCUUCACUCCCAUCUUGAGGGAGUGAGAGGGAGAGAAUGCAGUCUGAGAGGC
rnacentral:snoRNA from 1 species